CAGAAAAUAGUUUAAAAAAUAUUAAUUUUGGGAAUUAAAGAUAAAGAAUACCUCUUUUUUUCUGA
rnacentral:tRNA from 1 species